rnacentral:tRNA from 1 species
CGCGGAGUAGAGCAGCGGCAGCUCGCGAGGUUCAUUCCCUCGAAGUCGCCGGUUCGAAUCCGGCCUCCGCCA